rnacentral:lncRNA from 1 species
UUCCCUGGGUGCCACCUUCAGCAUGGGUGUUUCUAGAUCCUGCAGACACAGAGCCGAGACCAGCCCCAGACAGUGGGAGCUCAGCCCGAUGGUGCAGCUAGAAACAGGAGCACUGAGCACAACAUGGUCCCUGGCAGAGGUCUGGACCCACGGCCAGUAACCGAGGAGUCACAGGCCUUCCCUGUGGCACCUGGAGGCUGGAUUGCACGUGGAGGCUGCAUUGCACAUGGAGGCUGGAUUGCACGUGGAGGCUGCAUUGCACGUGGAGGCUGCAUUGCACGUGGAGGCUGCAUUGCAGCAGGAGAGGGAGCUGGAGAGGGGUGGGGUGGGCCACAUCCAGGCUGCUUUGUGGUUCAAACCCGCCACCUGCGAGCCCCUUGGGAGUGGCGGAUGCUGACCACAGAUGCAGCUUCCAGGACCUCCCAGCCCUGCUGCCUCUGAGCUUCAAGAGGGGCCUGAAGAUCUACAUUUUUAUCAAACCCCAAGGUGACUCCGUCACAAAAGUUGGUGACGGGACUGAUUCUAAGCAGGGCAUAAGGGGUCAGUUGUGUCCUUGGUGACGCUGAUGGGGUGAGGGGGAUACCUGGGGACAAGGGGGUGGCUAGAGAGCUUUGGGUCAGGUGGAAGACAGAGGCCUGUCCAGGGAAGGGUGGGCAUCACCUCGGCCAGUGCUC